CCUACGGGUGGGCUGCAGUGGGGAAUAUUGGACAAUGGGCGAAAGCCUGAUCCAGCCAUGCCGCGUGUGUGAAGAAGGCCUUCGGGUUGUAAAGCACUUUCAGUGGGGAAGAAAGCCUUGGGGCUAAUACCCUCGAGGAAGGACAUCACCCACAGAAGAAGCACCGGCUAACUCCGUGCCAGCAGCCGCGGUAAUACGGAGGGUGCGAGCGUUAAUCGGAAUUACUGGGCGUAAAGCGCGCGUAGGCGGUCUGAUAAGCCGGUUGUGAAAGCCCCGGGCUCAACCUGGGAACGGCAUCCGGAACUGUCAGGCUAGAGUGCAGGAGAGGAAGGUAGAAUUCCCGGUGUAGCGGUGAAAUGCGUAGAGAUCGGGAGGAAUACCAGUGGCGAAGGCGGCCUUCUGGACUGACACUGACGCUGAGGUGCGAAAGCGUGGGUAGCAAACAGGAUUAGAUACCCUGGUAGUC
rnacentral:rRNA from 1 species